GGCCUCCUGGUGCUUACUACAGGCUGUAUUCUUGCACUGACUGUAAAGAAAGAGGCAGAGAAGACCCUCCCUAUGUACACCUCAGCUCAGGCCUCGUAUAUGGGCUGUAUUGUGAAUGGGGGGGAUAAGG
ensembl:snoRNA